UAUUUUAUAAAUUUUUGAAGAAAAUGCAGCACAAUUCCGUCGCCGGCGCCGCCAUCUCUUCCGGCGCCACCGCUAGAAAACCACUCAUAGUCGACACAUCCCGCACCAACAGAUCGGAAAUUCAACGAUCUAUCUAAAGAUAGUGUUUGAUUUAGAAAAUAACAAAUGAUGGAGGCGCACACGUAUCAAGAAGAGCGACGGAACUGACAAGAUGAGGCUGUAUUGGUUGCCAAGAAAAUAUGAAAUGACUCUUAAUGAGAUGAAAACACAUAUACAAACAAAAUUGUUCAUAUCUGGGUACACGAGUUGCAAGCUUUUUCUCAAAAUCUAAUUUCUCAUCAACCAAACAGAAAAAUAAUAAUAAAAAGAUAAAUGAACCAAGACCUUUCUCUUCCUUUUUCUUCUUCUCUCCCUUGGCUUUGUGUGGCUUUGUGUGGCUUUGCCUUGCCUGUUUUCGGCGCCAUUGUGCUUCAAAGUGUUGAAUUGAUAUUAUAACUUUUUAGCUGCAGCAGGCUGAAUCCAGUGACCUAG
rnacentral:lncRNA from 1 species